UUCUUGUAGAGUGGGAGUCCCAAGAUGGGUUUGUGGAAAGGAAAAAGAUUAGGGUAUAUCAUAGGGGUGUGCAGUAGGAAGGGAGGGAAAAAGGAGAGAAAAGCAUGGAAAAGAAGGUCUGUAAAUAAUCAAGAUUGGGAGGAAGAAAAAGAGGGAAAAGAAAAGGUAGUGGAGAUAGAGAGAUUCCCUGAUGGAUGAUGACAUGGGCAGGUAAUUUCAAUAGAAGAAGAGGGAGGGGGAGGGAAUAGAAGCUUUUUGUUUUUUGUCUGUUUGUGCAGAGCAGAUGGGAAGAUAAAAAAAGAUGCAGUCUUUUUUACCAGGCAAAUGGCAUAUUGUACCUUAAUCCUGCAACGGAUGCACAUACUUUCUAAAAGCCAGGAUAUACCAUAAUGCUCAACCAUCCUUUCAUUAAUCCCCAGUUGCUGCAGGAAUCAUAUAAAGGUAGAUGCACCCCUUUGCAUUAUCAACUUAGAGGAAAAAAAUAUACAGGUUAAUUAAGCAGCCUUCUAAAGGGCUUGUGAUCAUAUUGUGGGGGAAUAUGCACAGAAAUUGAUAAAGCCCCUCUUAGCAGCAGCAGCAGCAACAACAAAAAAGAAAAGAACUCUCAACUCUCACCACAGAAUUGCAAUUCAAACCUUCCACAGCCUCUUUCCUGGUAUCAUUUUCAUCACCGUUGACAUUUUUUUUCUCUCUUCUUUUCUUUUCUUUUCUUUUUCUUUUCUUUUUCUUCCUUUAGAUUUUUAGUUUGCAGCAGUAACCAAGUCCCGGACCACCACCACAAAUAGUCACUCACUAAGGCACAUAUUCACAUAACACCAUCAUCUUAGUUUGCCUUUAGAUUUUUUGGAGGGGAAAAAAAAAGACCAGCACUUGCAACCAAAUUUUACUGCUCCUCCAUCUGACUUUCCAAAAGGCUACUCUAUCAAAAUAUUUCCAGUAAUUUCUUAGUACCUCUUAGAAAAGUUGUGAAGAAAAAGAAAUUCUUGGGAUUUGAUCUAGAAUUUCACCCAUGGUGUGGAGGAAAAAAAUGGUAUCUUGCAUCUGUUUUUCCA